rnacentral:rRNA from 1 species
CCUACGGGUGGCAGCAGUAGGGAAUUUUGCGCAAUGGGGGAAACCCUGACGCAGCAACGCCGCGUGAUCGAUGAAGCCCUUCGGGGUGUAAAGAUCUGUCAGUGGGGACGAAACCUGACGGUACCCACAGAGGAAGCACCGGCUAACUCCGUGCCAGCAGCCGCGGUAAAACGGGGGGUGCAAGCGUUGUCCGGAAUCAUUGGGGGUAAAGAGUUCGUAGGUGGCACGUUAAGUCUGGGGGUAAAGGGGGAAGCUCAACUUCCGUAGGGCACUGGAUACUGGCGAACUUGAAUGCGGUAGAGGUAAAGGGAAUUCCUGGUGUAGAGGGGAAAGGCGUAGAUAUCAGGAGGAACAUCAGUGGCGGAAGCGCUUUACUGGGCCGUAAUUGACACUGAGGAACGAAAGCCGGGGUAGCAAAUGGGAUUAGAUACCCCAGUAGUC